GAUGUACGCCCUUGAUGCAUGCAGUUUCGGGACGUCAAGUGGACACAGUGAAGCUGCUGCUAAAGAUGGGCGCCAACAUUAAUACACAGGAUGCAUACGGUCGCACCAGUUUAUGCCUGGCAACCUACCUGGGCUGGCUUGAAGGCUGUGUGAGUCUGCUCAGAAAUGGUGCCAAGCACAACAUCCCAGAUAAAAAUGGCCGCCUGCCACUGCACGCUGCCACUGCUGAACCUGAUGUGAGGCUUCUCAUCGUCCUGCUGCAGCAGUCUAGCCUCAGUGAGAUCAACCAUCAGGACACAGAGGUAUAACUGCUACUACAGUGAACUGUCAGUGAAAGAAAAAAAUCUUCCAAACACGUUUUGGGCGUUGAAUGAAAUGCUGUGCAGAAGUUGCUCAGUCCUUGCUGUGUUAGAGUUUUAUAACUGCUCUUGUGAUUCAGUCUAGAAGAAGGGGGCUAUUUGAUUCUGUCGAAAAGUAAACGCAACCUUAGUCUCUCUG
rnacentral:lncRNA from 1 species